rnacentral:lncRNA from 1 species
GGACACUCAAUUCAUUACAAGAGGGAGAGGGGGAAGAACAUCAUAAUAUCCAACUAUAGUAGCAAAGCCCAUGGUACAUCGAGAUCAAGACAUCUCAAGAACACGAGAGAGAGAGAUCAAACACAUAGCUACUGGUACAUACCCUCAGCCCCGAGGGAGAACUACUCCCUCCUCGUCAUGGAGAUCGCCGGGAUGAUGAAGAUGGCCACCGGAGAUGGAUUCCCCCUCCGACAGGCUGCCAGAAUGGGCUCCAGAUUGGUUUUUGCUGGCUACAGAGGCUUGCGGCGGAGGAACUCCCGAUCUAGGUUUCUUUUUGGAGGUUUCUGAAUUUAUAGGAAUUUAUGGCGGUGGAAUUAUGUCGGUUGGGCCCACGAGGAGGUCACAAGCCUGCCCUGCGCCACCUAGGGGGUGGUGGAGGCGUCAGGGCUUGUGACUCCCUCAUGGCUCUUCUAGCCUUCUUCCAAAGCUUCGGGGGUCUCUUUUGGUCCAAAAAAAUCAUCGUAAAGUUUCAUUCCAUUUGGACUCCGUCUAAAAAUGGGCCAAAAACACGGAAAAAACAGAAAGUCGCACUUGGCACUGAGUUAAUAGGUUAGUCCCAAAAAAGAUAUAAAAUAGCAUAUUCAUGCAUAUAAAACAUCCAAAGUUGACAAGAUAACAGCAUGGAACCAUCAAAAAUUAUAGAUACGUUGGAGACGUAUCAACCAACUUAGGCCAAAAGCCUAAGCUUGGGGGAGUACGUGUUUCUCAUUGACUUUACAUUCUUGCUUAUGCUUUCACUUUGUUCGUCGGUGUUCACACUUUGCCAGUGUAUCAUCCAUGCUAGUUUAUUUUCUUUUUCUCGUUUUAUUUUCGUGUGUCUGUCUAGUUUGAGAAAACCCAAAAAGAUUUUCUUUUUCUUCUUUUGCUUGUUGGGAGCUUUCCCGUGUAAAUAGUUUUCUUUUUCUUUGGGUCAAGGUAGAAGAUAAUGGUUACAAUGUUUAGUGGCUCUCGCAUGCAUACCUGUUUAGCUGUCAUAGAGUCAUAUUACUUUGUCUUCUCUUUUGUGUUUGCCUACAGAUUCCAGCUUUAGUCCAAUGCACGAUCACGCUUAUAAUUGUUCACAUCGUUCGGUCGUGCAAGUGAAAAGCUAUAAUGACGAUAUAUGAUGAAGUGACUGAGCCUGGAAAAGCUGGUAUGAACUCGAUCUAUUUUGUUUUUGUAAAUAUAACUAGCUCACUGUUCCUAGUUUAGCUUUGUUGUGAGAGAAACAUGUUUGCAAUGACAACUUAGAGAUCAUAGUUUCUGAUGCAUGCUUAAUUAGCUAGGAGCUUAUAAUGGUUCAUCUUGGUUGCCCACAUGAAUUUUGAGAUGACUAUGAUGUAGUAUGAUAGGAUGGUAUCCUCCUUUGAUUGAUUCAAGUGGCUUGACUUGGCGCAUGUUUACGCAUGUAGUUGAAACAAAAUCAACAUAGCCUCUAUGAUAUUCAUGUUCAUGGUGACUUAUGUCCUACUCAUGCUUGCACUCAAUGUUAGUUAAUCUCAAUGCAUUUUGAUGACUGUUGUCGCUCUCUAGUUGGUCGCUUCCCAGUCUUUUGC